CUGAAGCGCCUCCACGUCCGUGGUCUGAUUGUCCCGCGUCAUCCCAAGCGGCCCUGGAUUCCACUUCAGGGGCACAGCUCCGUCCUUGAACUCCAGGCAGUUUUCCUUCCCGUCUAGAACGCAAUUCAGGACUGUGAAGUACAAGCAAGGCCGCCAUGCAGCUUUCCAAGGAACCGCUCCCCAGGUGUGUGCUCUACAACAUGCAAAAGCUCCUGAGCUUAUUUACAUUCAGUGGCUUGGGAAGUCCUUGAGAGAGUUCUGAAGUUAUUUGUUCUCUUAUGAACACUGGAAAGAAAGUACAUUUACUACUGGGUUUAUUGAGAGGAAAGAACUCCGAUGUCCCUGUAGGGAUUACUCUCGGAAGAAGGCAAUUUCCUAAGACAAGCCCAAGAAGAAAAAGCGAGGAAGCCAACAGCCAUAGAGGACGGUAGCCACAGACCUGUUUCCUGAGAGGAACCUGAACCUGGGACCCUAUGCUUAGAUUCUAACAAACUUUCGGGGAACAAAUACCUCCCAUCUUAUACAACGGUUCCUGUGCCAGCAUGAUCUUAUAACAGAGCUAAAUAAAACACAAGUUAAGCUCACUUAUGAAAAGAUUCCAGCAUUCUAAAUAAAGCACAAUUGACCCUUGAACAACAUGGGCUUGAACUGCCUGGAUCCACUCAUU